rnacentral:misc_RNA from 1 species
AAAAAUGACAGACAACAGAGCUGUAAAUGCUGUCUUUGAAAAAGUUUCUUUUGUGAGCAAGAUCAGUACUGUUUUGAAAGCCACAUCUGAUGAUGAAUCUGCCAUACCAGGAUAUCUUUACAUGGAAGUUUGUAAUAUCACUCUGGAGUCAGAUGGGUAUAGUGAUUCCAUGCUAGAAUACCUAGUAGAUAGACUAAACAAAAAGUCCUGUCAUGUUAAAAUCAAGGUAAUGAAAUUAAUGAAACACAUCUUAAUGCAUGGGAACCCUCAAUUCAAGCUAGGCUUGAUGAAGUGCUCCCAGGGUAUCACAGAAGCCAAAAAGCACAGUGGGCCACCAGAUCCCUUACAUGGGAACAUUCCUUAUCUUGCUGUGAGGAAAACUGCAAAGGAAUUAUUGGAGAUGCUUUUUGACACAGAGAACUUUCCAACUACAAGCAAACCCAUCCCGGCAUCCUCAGGUUAUGGAGCCCAGUCGGGUCCAAAAUCCAAGAUGGAAGGGUUUGGAAAUACCGCCUCGCCUCAGAAAGUAGGGAUUGGGAAAUCCUUGCUACAAAAUAUCAGCGAUUUUGCCCAGCAGCUUAGGGAGGAGCCAGAGAACCCCCAGAGGGCGGUCUUAUCCUCCCUGGAGAACCCAGGGUCCUAUAAACCUCCAGUCGACCUGACCUUCUGUCCCCCCGGAGACAUCCUAGAGGGCAUACAGCCUGUGACAAGACGGAAAGAGGUUGUUCACAUCCCUGGUAAAGCAGGGGGAGGCUGGGACGAUGACGAAGAUAAUACUGAUGAAAAUGUAGAGGACAGCGUGGCAGAGCAACACAACAGUUCCAAUACUGACACUAGGUCUAGGUUAGACAGCAGUAGUUACGAGGACUGGAGCACUGAAGAGAACCUGGUGAAAUCAACCGUUGAUACUGGCAACGAUCGUCUGCUGACAAACUCUCAGAUAACAGAGUUCAUAAAGUCCUGCCAGGCCUGUAAUUGUGAUAAAGUUUUGGAGCUGCUGUGUCAGAGUCUACAGUCGACAGACGGACCCCUACUGAUGGUAGGUACCUCAAAGAAUGAGAUACACAGAAUCAAAGAAAUAACAUGCUUUUUUCUCAUGUUGUACUCUAUUUACAGAGAGCUCUGCUUUUGAUUGAGUAUUUGUUAAGAACAGACAUCUAUGGUAUCAAUCAAAUUUCUGAAGCUUGUGGUAAAUACUUGUUAAAUAUAUCAGAGGGAAAAGCUAGUCCACAGACCUCCAAAGCCAAAAAGAUCAUAAGAAUUCUUGAGAAGCUUCGUUCAACGCUAGUGGAAAAUGCAGCUUCAUGAUAUGAACAAUGAUUAGACAGUGUGCAAUACCAUAUCAUUAGUACAGAAUGAAUUAAUGUAUGAUUUUAUCUGACUUUUGUGUAAUUCCAUGUAUUCCUGAAAAGAGAUUGUCUCUUCACUAUCACACUUGGAAUAGAUGUCUGGACUAUCGUAUGAUUUACGUUAGUCAUAUAGAUAUAUAAUACUUAAAUGAUCAUCAAAUGACUGAUUGUUUAUGCUACAUAUAUAAUUUUAUAAAAACAUUUAUGAUUGUAAUUGCACAAUUUUAUUGAGCCCCAUAACAUUGGUUCUGGUACAUGUACCAGUAUAUCAUCAUUAAACAUGUGAAUCAUU